rnacentral:rRNA from 1 species
AGAGUUUGAUCCUGGCUCAGGACGAACGCUGGCGGCGUGCCUAAUACAUGCAAGUCGAGCGAGCGGAACCAACAGAUUUACUUCGGUAAUGACGUUGGGAAAGCGAGCGGCGGAUGGGUGAGUAACACGUGGGGAACCUGCCCCUAAGUCUGUGAUACCAUUUGGAAACAGGUGCUAAUACCGGAUAAUAAAGCAGAUCGCAUGAUCAGCUUUUGAAAGGCGGCGUAAGCUGUCGCUAAGGGAUGGCCCCGCGGUGCAUUAGCUAGUUGGUAAGGUAACGGCUUACCAAGGCGACGAUGCAUAGCCGAGUUGAGAGACUGAUCGGCCACAUUGGGACUGAGACACGGCCCAAACUCCUACGGGAGGCAGCAGUAGGGAAUCUUCCACAAUGGACGCAAGUCUGAUGGAGCAACGCCGCGUGAGUGAAGAAGGUUUUCGGAUCGUAAAGCUCUGUUGUUGGUGAAGAAGGAUAGAGGUAGUAACUGGCCUUUAUUUGACGGUAAUCAACCAGAAAGUCACGGCUAACUACGUGCCAGCAGCCGCGGUAAUACGUAGGUGGCAAGCGUUGUCCGGAUUUAUUGGGCGUAAAGCGAGCGCAGGCGGAAAAAUAAGUCUAAUGUGAAAGCCCUCGGCUUAACCGAGGGACUGCAUCGGAAACUGUUUUUCUUGAGUGCAGAAGAGGAGAGUGGAACUCCAUGUGUAGUGGUGGAAUGCGUAGAUAUAUGGAAGAAACACCAGUUGGCGAAGGCGGCUCUCUGGUCCUGCAACUGAACGCUGAGGCUCGAAUGCAUGGUAGCGAACAGGAUAGAUACCCUGGUAGUCAUGCCGUAAUCGAUGAGUGCUAAGUGUUCGGAGGUUUCCGCCUUCUCAGUGCUGCAGCUAACGCAUUAAGCACUCCGCCUGGGGAGUACGACCGCAAGGUUGAAACUCAAAGGAAUUGACGGGGGCCCGCACAAGCGGUGGAGCAUGUGGUUUAAUUCGAAGCAACGCGAAGAACCUUACCAGGUCUUGACAUCUUUUGCCAGGCUGAGAGAUCAGCUGUUCCCUUCGGGGACAAAAUGACAGGUGGUGCAUGGUUGUCGUCAGCUCGUGUCGUGAGAUGUUGGGUUAAGUCCCGCAACGAGCGCAACCCUUAUUGUCAGUUGCCAGCACUUAGUUGGGCACUCUGAUAAGACUGCCGGUGACAAACCGGAGGAAGGUGGGGAUGACGUCAAAUCAUCAUGCCCCUUAUGACCUGGGCUACACACGUGCUACAAUGGGCGGUACAACGAGUCGCGAGACCGCGAGGUCAAGCCAAUCUCUUAAAACCGCUCUCAGUUCGGAUUGCAGGCUGCAACCCGCCUGCAUGAAGUCGGAAUCGCUAGUAAUCGCGGAUCAGCAUGCCGCGGUGAAUACGUUCCCGGGCCUUGUACACACCGCCCGUCACACCAUGAGAGUUUGUAACACCCAAAGCCGGUGGGGUAACCGCAAGGGACCAGCCGUCUAAGGUGGGACAGAUGAUUGGGGUGAAGUCGUAACAAGGUAACC